GGUGCUUUAGGAUUUUAAAAUAUAGAUCAGUAAAUUGGAAGAGUAAUGCCUAAUGAUGUUUUUACAUUAAAUAUAUCAUCUACAGAGCUUCUAUGGACUGGUGUAUUAACCACAACAGAAGCAUUGUGAUUUUCGUAGUUGGUGGCAUCAUCACCAAAUAGAACUUCAGUUGCUGGGGGCAGACUGGGAAGUAGUGGACAGCACACGUCCCCUGGAGGACGGCUGGUAUGGAUAAGGCCUAAAAGAGUCAGAAGAUGUGUAAGAAGAACACCCCUCCGAUUGCAGCAAUUCUCCCCUUCAGAACGUAGUUUUCACCUCCGAUUUUCGAGCACUGCAUUCCAACCAGAGUUCCCACAAGCCCAAAUGUUCCGAACACGAUGGCGGCGAUCAUCAAUGCUCGAGACGCUUGUAUGUACCCUGCGCACAAACACAAAGCUCUCCGGCAGUCUUGUGGGCGAUGUCACUCUCCAGAAACUGCUGGAAGAGCCGCUUGCCGACGGGCUCGUUGACGCACAUGCUAUCGAAGGUUUUGCCCACGGACGCUUUCAUGUGUUGGCAAUCCCGGAUGUGUGGGAGUUUCAGCCUGGCCCGCAUCUUUUUGUCUCGCAGGGCUUGAUUCACAGGGACAGCACCCGGGGUGGAUCCCAAGACGUUACCAGACCAGCCACAAAACAUCGCCUCUCCAGCAUCUUAUAGAAGUAUGUGUUGGAUUUCAUUUGUUUCAACAAACAAUUUAUUUUGCAGACCUGAAUUGACUGGCACGUGUUUUAAUAUUUAGCUUCACGAGCGUGGCACUAUACACCGGCUAGCAGUAUGAUGCGUUGCAGUUCUUCGGUGCUUUUGUUUUAAAUAAGACGGGAGGGGGGGGGGGGGGGGAAUCCUAUUAUGCUGCCACAAGCACUGUUGACAAAUUCCCAAGUCUCCACAACCAGCUGAGCUUUAAAUCAUCUUCAACAGAUUAAAUGCAAAGGUGUGCUGAAACUUGACGCAUGUUGCCAUAUAGUCGUACAGUGGAUAUAAGACGUCUACACCCUUGUUCAAAUGCCCAUUUUUUGUGACAUAAAAAGAUGAGGCCAAAAUAAAUCAUUUGUACACUGUUUCCACUCAGUAGUGUGUCUUACAGAAUAUGGAGAGAUUUCCGAGAAAGAGAGUAAACAAACACCUGAAAUCAUGUGAUUGCACAAGUCCGCAUUUUAUAACGGGGGAUGUGAUUUUUGUAGUGAAUUAACCAAUCAGAUUCAAACUCAUGUUAAAUGGGAAAUGCGUCAAACUAUUUUUGUAAUUAAGGACAAAAGUUCAAUUUUGGUUUCAGUUAAUCAUGACGCAUUUUGCCACACAUUUGGGAGAUUUUGUUCUGUGUUGAUGAAAUCAAGGUUAAACCUUUU